UGCUCAUUUUAAACUGGAUUAUUAGUCUUAUUAUUUUAAUAAUUUCAACUUUUAUUUUAGACUCAGGGGUAUAUGUACAGGUUUGUUACAUGGGUAUAUUGUGUGAUGCUGAGGUUUGAGGUAUGAAUGGUCCUGUCACCCAGGUAGUGAGCAAAGUACCUUAUAGAUAGGUUUUUAGCCCUUCCUCCCUUCGAACUCCAUCCCCUCCAGGAAUCCCCAGCGUCUAUUGUUGCCAUCUUUAUGUCCACAUGUACCCAAUGUUUGGAUCCCACUUAUAAAUGAGAACAUACAGUAUUUGGUUUUCUGUUCCUGCAUUAAUUCACUCAGGAUAAUGGCCUCCAGGUGGAUCCAUGUUAUUGCAAUGGACAUGAUUUUGUUCCUUUUUGUGGCUCUGUAGUAUUUCAUGGUGUAUAUGUACCACGUUUUCUUUAUCAAAUCCACCAUUGAUGGGCACCUAGGUUGAUUCCAUGUCUUUGCCAUUGUGUAUAGUGUUGUGGUUACCAUAUGAGUAUGUGUGUCUUUUUGGUAGAAUGAAUUAUUUUUCUUUGGAUAUAUACUUAGUAAUGGGAUUUCUAGGUUGAAUAGCAGUGCUGUUUUAAGUUCUUUGAGAAAUCUUCAAACUGCUUUCUACAGUGGCCAAAAUAAUCUAUUAAUAUAUUCCCAUCAACAAUGUCUAAGCUUUCCCACUCUCGUCAGCAUAUGUUAUUUUUCGACUUUUUAGUAAUAGCCAUUCUGACUGGUGUGAGAUGGUAUGUAAUUGUGGUUUUGAUUUGCAUUUCUCUGAUGAUUAGUGAUGUAGAGUGUUUUUCAUAUAUUUGUUGGCUGCAUGUAUGUCUUCUUUUCUGAAGUGUCUGUUCAUGUCCUUUGCCUCCUUUUUUUUUUUUUUUUUUUUUGAGACAGAGUUUCGCUCUUGUUGCCCAGGCUGGGGUGCAAUGGCGCGAUCUCGGCUCACCUCAACCUCCGCCUCCUGGGUUCAAGAGAUUCUCCUACCUCAGCUCCUGAGUAGCUGGGAUUACAGGCAUGUGCCAUCACGCCCAGCUAAUUUUUUGUAUUUUUAGUAGAGACAGGGUUUCUCCAUGUUGGUCAGGCUGGUCUCGAACUCCUGAUCUCAGGUGAUCCGCCUGCUUUGGCCUCCCAAAGUGCUAGGAUUACAGGUGUGAGCCACCACACCUGGCUGUCUUUUGCCUACUUUUCAAUGAAGUUAUUUGUUUUCUUUGCUUGUUGAAUUGUUUGAAUUCCCUAUAGACUCUGGAUAUUAGACCUUUGUCAGAUACAUAUUUUGCAAAUACAUUCUCCCAUUCUGUAGGUUGUCUUUUUACUCUGUGUAUAGUUUCUUUUUCUGUGUAGAAGCUCUUUAGUUUAUUUAGGUCCUACUUACCUAUUUUUAUUUUUGUUGCAAUUGCUUUUGAGGACUUAGUUAUAAAUCCUUUUCCAAGUUUGAUGUUCAGAAUGGCAUUUCCUAGGUUUUCUAGGAUUCUUAUAGAUUGAGGUCUUACAUUUAAAUUAUUAAUCCGCUUUGAGUUAAUUUUUGUAUAUGGUGAAAGGUAGGAGUCCAGUUUCAUUCUUUUUUUCUUUAAGAAUGCUGAAAAAUAGGCCCCUAGUCUCUCCUGGCUUAUAAGGUUUUUGUUGAGAAGUCUGCUGUUAACCUGAUAAGGUUCCCUUUGUACAUGAGCUGACCUUUUUCUCUAGCUGCCUUUAAAAUUUUUUCUUUAGUUUUGACCUUGGAAAGUGUCAUGACUAUAUGCCCUGAUGAUGUCUGUUUUGUAUAGUAUCUCACAGGUAUUUUUUGGAUUUCUUGUAUCUGAAUUUCUAUAUCUGUAGCAAGGUUAGGAAAAUUUUUGUGAAUUAUUCCUCAAAUAUAUUUCCAAGUUGUUUACUUUUUCUUCUGUCUCAGGAAUGCCAAUAAUUCAUAGGUUUGGCCACUCUAUAUAAUCACAUAUUUCUUGAAGACUUUGUUCAUUUAAAAAAAAAUUCUUUAAAAAAAUUUUUGUCUGACUGCCUUAGUUUGAAAGAUUGAUCUUCACGCUCUGAAAAUCUUCUUUCUGCUCUGUCUUGUCUAUUGAUAAAGAUUUCAAUUGUAUUUUGAAAUUCCUGAAGUGAAAAUUUCAAUUCUAGAAGCUCAGAUUUGUUUUUAAGAUGUUUAUCUCUUCCUUCACUUCCUGGAUUGCUUUGGAAGUUUCUUUGUUUUGAUUUUAAUCCUUGUCACAAAUCUCAUUGAGCUUCUUUGCAAUCCAUGUUUUGAAUUUUUUAUCUAUCAUUUCUGAGUUUCCAUUUUGGUUAGGGACCAUGUUGGAGAGCUACUGUGAUCCUUUGGCGGUAUCAACAAUAGUCAUAUAUAUAUAUAUAUAUAUUUUUUUUUUUUAAUGAUGCCAGAAUUCUUGCAGUGGCUCCCUCUCAUCUGGAGAUAUGCCUCACACUUUGAAUAUUUGUAAUUAUUUUCUUGUAUAUAGGAUGUUUUUUCCUUCCUUUCUUUCUCUAUAAUAUUAUUAUCAUCAUUUUUUCUUUCUCUUUUUCCCCCUCUAGAGGGUGUGAUUGUAGAGAAUGCCGGAUAGGAUCUUUUGACUUUGCUUCUAUAGCCCUAUGCACUUCUUUUGGCAGGUUUUGUAUUGGGGUCCAUGGUUUGACCUAUAAUCCAGUAGACGGCACCAGUAAGAGCCAGCUGUGGCAAAUAUGGCUGGGUAUAUACUUGAUCCUUGUUUACUAGGGGAAGCUCUCUGUCCUCAGGCAAUGGGCUGUUCUAAGGAGUGCACAGUGGUCUAAGCUCCCUGCUCAGCCCCAGUGUAGGGUACCAAGAUGGGUGGGGCCAGACUGGCCAAGCCUACCUACAGGACCCUCAAUGGCAGGCAGAAGCACCAGUGCUGAGGAAAGUCCACAUGGCCACCAAGUGCCCAGGGGUGUGCCUAGGCAUGGAGUGGGGUAAACCUUUGCUCCGAGUUCUAUGCAUGGUAGUGGGGAGUGGCCUAAACUAAUCCAAGAGAGUGGGCACUCUGGAUGACUGGAGACCUGCGUGGGCGUGGAGUGUGGAGACUGCACUAGAUCUCUGCAUAGAAAGGGUGGGACAUCUCAGGAUAAGAAGUGCUCCAAAUGCCUGAAGAUAUGCCUGGGGGUGGAGUGGAGAGGGCCCUAUUACACCAAGGUCUCUGCUCAGGAAAGGAGGACUCAGGCUGUUAAUCCAGGCUUGUAUUUAUAAAACAGAACUGAACUAGCUGGUAGCAUUUACUCUGGAAUGAAGGAUGGAACUGAUGGGAUUUUCCAAAAGGAGCAGAAAGUCAGUAGGAGAAAAGUUGGAGCUGUACAUCCUCAAUGAGUUGCUACUUCUGUUAUACACAGAAAAUUAAAAGUUGAAUGAAACCCGCAACUAAGAAAUACCAAGUUCAACUAAAUUAAUAAAAUGUGGUGAUGUCCUGUGCUAUUUUGGGAUUCUGCAGCGUCCCAAAAGCAAGAAGACCCUCACCAGGUGUGGUCCCUCAGCCUUGGAUCCUCACCUCCAUAACUGCAGCUUCAAAGAUCACCAACUGUAAGAAACAGGAAGAGACUUUGAAGUAGAUAACUUCUUGUGUUUUUUUCACAUAUUCCCUGGUGGAAUUUUAGUUUUGUAUCAUGCUUUUCCAAGUUUUUCUCCAGAUGUUGUAUAGUUUUUUGUUUUUGUUUUUUUUUUUUUUUUUCCCGGAAAAGUUUAGACAUCUUGUACACAGACAUCAAGAUCUAAAAACGGAGGCGCCAGCUCUAUUUUACAAAAAUAUCUGAUAGUAUCUUAUUGAAGAAUGUUGGAAUCAUUCAAGCGACUGCUUCUAUCCAGUUUCCACGCUGUCUGAAGAUCCUCCUUGAAAUCCCAUGUAACCUUUAGUAUAAUGCCCACGUUAAGAAAAGUGGGUCAGUGAUUAAAGACAUAUUGAAUCAUGUUUCUGGCUUUUUGUGUUUAUAAAUUAUGUAUAUAAUUAUAAAUAUAGUAUUUAUAUAAAAAUAUAAAUGUAUACAUGUUUAUAUUUAUUAUAAAUUAUUAUAAAUAAUCAGUAAAACAUCAGUGGAC
rnacentral:lncRNA from 1 species